ACGGGAGGCAGCAGUUAGGAAUAUUGGGCAAUGGAGGAAACUCUGACCCAGCAACGCCGCGUGAAGGAUGAAGGUCUUCGGAUUGUAAACUUCUGUUCUAAGGGAAGAAACAAAUGACGGUACCUUAGAAGAAAGCCCCGGCAAACUACGUGCCAGCAGCCGCGGUGAUACGUAGGGGGCAAGCGUUGUCCGGAAUGACUGGGCGUAAAGGGAGUGUAGGCGGUUCUUUAAGUUAAAUGUGUAAUCCCGAAGCUUAACUUCGGAACUGCAUUUAAUACUGGGGAACUUGAGUGUGGGAGAGGUAAGUGGAAUUCCUAGUGUAGCGGUGGAAUGCAUAGAUAUUAGGAGGAACAUCAGUGGCGAAGGCGACUUACUGGAACAUAACUGACGCUGAGGCUCGAAAGCGUGGGGAGCAAACAGGAUUAGAUACCCUGGUA
rnacentral:rRNA from 1 species